rnacentral:rRNA from 1 species
GAUGAACGCUAGCGACAGGCUUAACACAUGCAAGUCGAGGGGCAGCAUAGAAGUAGCAAUACUUUGGUGGCGACCGGCGCACGGGUGAGUAACGCGUAUGCAACCUACCUAUCAGAGGGGAAUAACCCGGCGAAAGUCGGACUAAUACCGCAUAAAACAGGGGCACCGCAUGGUGAUAUUUGUUAAAGAAAUUCGCUGAUAGAUGGGCAUGCGUUCCAUUAGGUAGUUGGUGAGGUAACGGCUCACCAAGCCGACGAUGGAUAGGGGAACUGAGAGGUUGGGCCCCCACACUGGUACUGAGACACGGACCAGACUCCUACGGGAGGCAGCAGUGAGGAAUAUUGGUCAAUGGGCGGGAGCCUGAACCAGCCAAGUCGCGUGAAGGAAGAAGGAUCUAUGGUUCGUAAACUUCUUUUGCAGGGGAAUAAAGUGCGGGACGUGUCCUGUUUUGUAUGUACCCUGAGAAUAAGGAUCGGCUAACUCCGUGCCAGCAGCCGCGGUAAUAC